CCUACGGGAGGCUGCAGUGAGGAAUAUUGGUCAAUGGGCGGAAGCCUGAACCAGCCAAGUCGCGUGAGGGAAUAAGGCCCUACGGGUUGUAAACUUCUUUUAUAAGGGAAUAAAGUCAGGCACGUGUGCCUUUUUGUAUGUACUUUAUGAAUAAGGAUCGGCUAACUCCGUGCCAGCAGCCGCGGUAAUACGGAGGAUCCGAGCGUUAUCCGGAUUUAUUGGGUUUAAAGGGUGCGUAGGCGGGUUGUUAAGUCAGAUGUGAAAUGUUGAGGCUCAACCGUGAAAUUGCAGUUGAUACUGGCAGGCUUGAGUGCAGUAGCGGUAGGCGGAAUGCGUGGUGUAGCGGUGAAAUGCUUAGAUAUCAUAAAGAACACCGAUUGCGAAGGCAGUUCACUAGACUACAACUGACACUGAGGCUCGAAAGUGUGGGUAUCAAACAGGAUUAGAUACCCUUGUAGUC
rnacentral:rRNA from 1 species